GUCAAGCAAAUCCCAUAAAGUUGUUCUCAGUUCGGAUUGUAGUCUGCAACUCGACUACAUGAAGCUGGAAUCGCUAGUAAUCGUAGAUCAGCAUGCUACGGUGAAUACGUUCCCGGGUCUUGUACACACCGCCCGUCACACCACGAGAGUUUGUAACACCCGAAGCCGGUGGAGUAACCUUUUAGGAGCUAGCCGUCGAAGGUGGGACAAAUGAUUGGGGUGAAGUCGUAACAAGGUAGCCGUAUCGGAAGGUGCGGCUGGAUCACCUCCUUUCUAAGGA
rnacentral:rRNA from 1 species